rnacentral:rRNA from 1 species
GACGAACGCUGGCGGCGUGCUUGAAACAUGCAAGUCGAGCGGAGCGGCGAACGGGUGAGUAACGCGUGAGUAACUGCCCCCCUCUCUGGGAUAACAGUUGGAAACGGCUGCUAAUACCGGAUAGUGGGGGAUGACUCGCGUCCUAUGAGCUUGUUGGUGGGGUAGUGGCCUACCAAGGCGACGACGGUUAGCCGGCCUGAGAUGGCGACCGGCCACAUGGGGCGGAGUGACGGCUCAAACCCCUACGGGAGGCAGCAGUGGGGAAUAUUGCACAAUGGGUGAAACCCUGAUGCAGCAACGCCGCGUGCGGGAUGACGGCCUUCGGGUUGUAAACCGCUUUCAGCCAUGACGCGGUAGUGGCAGACGAAGCACCGGCUAACUACGUGCCAGCAGCCGCGGUAAUUC